UACGGGGGGGGCAAGCGUUGUUCGGAAUUACUGGGCGUAAAGCGCGCGUAGGCGGCUCUGAAAGUCGGACGUGAAAGCUCCUGGCUUAACUGGGAGAGGCCGUUCGAAACUUCAGGGCUUGAGGUUGGGAGAGGGGUGUGGAAUUCCCGGUGUAGUGGUGGAAUGCGUAGAUAUCGGGAGGAACACCAGUGGCGAAGGCGGCACCCUGGCCCACACCUGACGCUGAUGUGCGAAAGCGUGGGUAGCAAACAGG
rnacentral:rRNA from 1 species